rnacentral:rRNA from 1 species
AGUGAACGCUGGCGGUAGGCCUAACACAUGCAAGUCGAACGGCAGCACAGUAAGAGCUUGCUCUUACGGGUGGCGAGUGGCGGACGGGUGAGGAAUACAUCGGAAUCUACUUUUUCGUGGGGGAUAACGUAGGGAAACUUACGCUAAUACCGCAUACGACCUACGGGUGAAAGCAGGGGAUCUUCGGACCUUGCGCGAUUGAAUGAGCCGAUGUCGGAUUAGCUAGUUGGCGGGGUAAAGGCCCACCAAGGCGACGAUCCGUAGCUGGUCUGAGAGGAUGAUUCGGCCCACCGGGACCUGGGCACCGUCCCGGCUCCUUAGGGAGGCCGGAGGUGGGAAUUUUUGAAAAAGGGGGGAAACCCUGUCCAGGCAAACCCCGGUGGUGGAAGAAGCCUUCGGGUUGUAAAGCCCUUUUGUUGGGAAAGAAAAGCAGCAGGUUAAUACCCCGCUGUUCUGACGGUACCCAAAGAAUAAGCACCGGCUAACUUCGUG